rnacentral:piRNA from 1 species
UAAUCCGUGAAAACUCCGUGA